ensembl:lncRNA
GAUUCAAUCUCUUUCUCCUGGUAGCUCCAGCUGAGAGAAGGUACUCUUACGGCUCCGCGUACUACGCUUCAGCCAAAAUGGAGACGAAGCAACUCAAGCCUGGACGAGGUAUGGUUGACGUUCAGUCACUCAUCUGAAGCUAUGAUGCUUCAUAGGAUAAAUUCAGUGUGCCAGGAACCCAGUGCACUUCUACUUGGUGAAUUAACACAGCACCUGACUGAAGACUGACAUUGUUUCCUGUUACAUGGAAGAACUGCCCAGUCUGUAGCUCUGUGGACUGUCUCUAAAGUCCCUGUAUUAAAAAGCAGAGUAAAUUAUCCUGGGAUGAAAGGAUGUGUUCCUUCUUAUGAAGUGUGGAGUGAUCAACACAAAUGAUAUUAAAACCCAAGGUCCAAUGCAAUAUUGAGAUCUGUGGUACUGCAUUGUGGACAGGGAGCUUAGCACCUCUGGAUCAGUGCAGUUCAUCAUAGUCUGGGCCAAACUCCCAAUUGCAAGCAGUGUCCAUGCAAAAUUUGAGAUGCCAUUCAUUUUUUAAUCCUAACAGCUUUUGUCAAUAUGUGAACAGUAUGUUUAAAUGAACAUGGACUGUGUUUGGAUGCAGUGUGUAUGCAGGUAUUCCAAAUUUUGUAAAUCUUAGUAAUAACUUAACAAAAAUUAAUUUGGGCAAUUUGAGAAGUUAUUUUUGGAUAUGAGACUCAGAAUACCAUGGAAUGUCCUUAUAUUCAUGGUCUACAUGUAAUUAACAGUACAAAAAGAUUUAGAAAUGUACACAUUUGCAUAAAGAUCUUGAUGAAGGGAUUUUUUUAAUUGCAUUUUUAUCUCAUGGUCAAUGAAUAAGUAGCUUCGUAUCUGUUAUGGUGAGAAGAAUGAAUUUUUAUUAUUAUUAUUAUUAUUAUUUUUGCCAGUGAGCAUACACUAGAAAUCUUCACCAGAUCUUUUCUAGAUUUGAUGUUGCUUCUGAAGUCCCUUCCCUCCACAAGAUAGAGAAAAAUCAGUGGAGCAUGUAAUGAAUUCAGAAAUGCCUAUGAUGAAAUUAAUAUGAAUUAGGCAAACCCUUACAUUUGUCUCAGGAUUUUCCUUGUCUAGAACUAGCGGAAAAAUGCAUUUAGAUGAUAAACAUAUAUUUUCCAUGCAGAAGUUUGGGCUAUUUUGAGUAUGAGGCUUCUAUGAAAUGAGGAUAUAUUGCCUACCUUCCCUUAUGACCAGAUGGAACAUUUUUGCUUUGGACUGUGACCUUGGUACUACUCAUCCCAGUGUCACAAAAUGCAGUAUCGGAUUUUAAUCAAUUUGGAAAAAAAAACACAAAAAACAUUUAAUUGUAGUUUGUGAUAAAGCAUUUUGUCCAACCUUGCCAACCUUGUCUGGCCUUAUGAGGAGCCUGCUGGUGGUAGUUUGGUUUUGCGUGUGAUGAUUUUCCUUGUUCAGUUUCUUUUUGGUUUGGUUUGAUUUGGUUUGGUGUUCUUUUGUGUGUGUGUUUUGUUUUUACUGCAUCCCAAGCUGUCAGCUGACUUGCAAGAAUAACCAAUUUUCCUGCUUUAAAAUGUGUGGCGUGGGUGCUAAUACCAUUUGCAGAAUAUAUAGCUUUAGGGAUUGCACUAAUGAAGUUAAGCAGAAUGAUUUAUUUCUUGUACAGCGCAUGAACUAAUUUGCAGAUUAUUUCUCCCUGUGCUUCUGUAAAGGACAGUUAAAGCUACAUGUAAGCUGAGCCAGAAUUCCUGUGUCUGGCAGUGCUGAUGGAGAAUUUUAUGGAAGGCUGAAGGGAGGCUCCUUUUUUUUAAAGCAAUACAUCAUAGAGUGUUUUUUAAUCCUUGUUAUAUUUAACUGAUAUUGAUAAUAUGUGCUUUCAUAGUCUAUAUUAUGAAUAUGAUUUGGUAUGGAGCGUCAAUUGUUGUUUACGUGUUAUACUGAUAAUAAAUGCAGGGAGAGAAGGACUAAGAUUUCUGUAUUUGUUGGGUUAACAUUUUGAAAGGCUCCUCCCUUAUGUUAUGUACUGA